rnacentral:tRNA from 1 species
GGCUGGGUAGCUCAGUGGAUUGAGAGCCAAAAUAGAGGUGGAGGUCCUAGGUUCGAAUCCAGCCUCAGCCA